rnacentral:rRNA from 1 species
AACGUGCCCUUCACUACGGAACAACGUCGGGAAACUGACGCUAAUACCGUAUAAUGUCUCCGGACCAAAGAUUUAUCGGUGAAGGAUCGGCCCGCGUCUGAUUAGCUAGUUGGUGAGGUAAAAGCUCACCAAGGCGACGAUCAGUAGCUGGUUUGAGAGAAUGAUCAGCCACACUGGGACUGAGACACGGCCCAGACUCCUACGGGAGGCAGCAGUGAGGAAUCUUGGACAAUGGGCGCAAGCCUGAUCCAGCCAUGCCGCGUGAGUGAUGAAGGCCUCAGGGUUGUAAAGCUCUUUUGGCGGGGAUGAUAAUGACCGUACCCGCAGAAUAAGCCACGGCUAAAUUCGUGCCAGCAGCCGCGGUAAUACGAAUGUGGCGAGCGUUGUUCGGAAUCACUGGGCGUAAAGAGUACGUAGGCGGCUUGAUAAGUCAGGAGUGAAAUCCCCAGGCUCAACCUGGGAAUUGCUCUUGAAACUAUCUCGCUAGAAACACGGAGAGGUUGGCGGAAUUCCAAGUGUAGAGGUGAAAUUCGCAGAUAUUUGGAGGAACACCAGUGGCGUAAGCGGCCAACUGGACGUGUAUUGACGCUGAGGUACGAAAGCGUGGGGAUCAAACAGGAUUAGAUACCCUGGUAGUCCACGCCAUAAACGAUGUG